rnacentral:tRNA from 1 species
GCCGCUAUAGCUCAGUGGCAGAGCACUGGUCUUGUAAACCAGGGGUCGCGAGUUCGAUCCUCACUGGCGGCU